UACGUAGGGUGCAAGCGUUGUCCGGAAUUAUUGGGCGUAAAGAGCUCGUAGGCGGUUUGUCGCGUCGGCUGUGAAAUCCCGAGGCUCAACCUCGGGCCUGCAGUCGAUACGGGCAAACUAGAGUGUGGUAGGGGAGACUGGAAUUCCUGGUGUAGCGGUGAAAUGCGCAGAUAUCAGGAGGAACACCGGCGGCGAAGGCGGGUCUCUGGGCCAUAAAUGACGCUGAGGAGCGAAAGCGUGGGGAGCGAACAGG
rnacentral:rRNA from 1 species